AGCAAGCAUGAAUAAGCAAAUUCAUUUUUGAAUCUUUAAAGGUUCAAAGACUGUAUGGUUCAAAGUAGCAGAAAGCUUGCCUCCAAACGGCUCUCACCAUGACGGAUAGCGGCUAAAGGUGCUAACAGCGCUAACAAUGCAAACAACGACAGACAGAGUGUAACACAAGUUUACCUGAGGGGGAACUAGAGAAUGUCCGUUUCGUUUUCGCAAAGACGCCUUUGGUCGGGAACUUUCCGUGACCACCAAUAUUCACAGUGGAGUUGAUGGAUGUAGGUUAAGUGGAAGUGUCCCAUCACAGAAUCUCAUACAGAAGAUUGGCAGACCCACUGAUGUCGUGCGUCAUCCCCCGGCCCUGCCAUGGUUCAGGAUGUAACAACAACAACAACAACAACAUCAGCUGGCCUGAUCAUGCAGAGUGUGGCCCCCCACCACCUCCCUCCAGCCAGGGGACACUGACAGGAGACAGGAGGCUGGGCUGACAAGGUGUCCAUGUGCUGUCUGCUAUCUGAGCGCAACAACAGAGCUCUCAAAUCGAUACACCUCCCUCACAUGUUGCUGAGAAGGACGCAUGGGGUGAUUGGUCUUAUUUCCACUUCAUAGUUCGUCACAUGUGACUGUGUGAAGUGGUUUCAGUGAGAGACGCAGCGACUGAACUGUGGCACACUGGGAAAUGAAUGCUUCUUUCCACAAGGAGCAGAUCCCUCCCUCUGAUCACACACUGGACGAUUCACUCAGUGUCACAAAAACUGAUGUCAAGAAGAAGAAAAAAUAUGACAAACACAGUGGACGGCCACAAAAAAAGAAUGCAUUUGCUGUCACGAAACUAGACUCUGCAGACAUUCCUGCUGCUAUAAGGCUAGCUGUCAGCUCAUAUGGGAUAUGUACCUGUGACACCAAUUCAAGUGUUUAUAGGAAGGCUGCUUGUUUUGAUUAUCAUGUUUUAAGAUAUGGAGAUUUGGAGCAGGGUGAUAUGCUAUACCGUAUGGUUGCAACAUAAACGGUGACACAAUUACACUAGAAAUGGAGGAACCAGUAUGUAUACAGUCUAAG